rnacentral:lncRNA from 1 species
CCCUAACUUCCAAGUUUGGAAAUGCAGAAGCUUUUCCUAUUAAAAUCACAUCCUAUAUAUGUAAUAUGUAUGCAUAUAAUCAAUCAUAUUGGAGCAGAGAGAACCAGGCACUCGACUGUACUUGCCAAGCUCUUCACGUCUUAGUAAGUAGCUUCUGAACCAACAUUCCACCCAACAUAAAACAAUAAGACCCUGUUUUGCUACUUUAGAACGUAUUAGAGAGAUUAAAAUUCUUUGGGAAAUGGUUUAAAAUAUUUUUUCUUACCCAAAUAGGUAAGGAACCAGUCCAAUAGUGCUGAGAGCAAUGGAAUUCAAAGCUCAGUUCUCAUAAUCUCUGAGUCCUGAAGGAAUGCAAAGCAGACAUCCAUUCAAGUCACAAGCCUGUAUCUGGGGAUUUGACACAGGUUCUUGCUCCUUGUUUAUUUUGUCUUGGGCACUUUAUUUCUUGAUGGUGAUAUCUGAGGAGCAAGGGCCCUCCAGAGAGGAGAAAAGAAGACUAGAAAUCACAGAACCUUAGUCGCUCUACCUUCACAAAGUAGGACCCGCCCUUGUCCUCACGAUUUGCACACUGAAUGGAGCAAAGCACGUGCAAAGGGUACAACACAUUCUAAACGUGCGUGAUUUAACGUGGUCGUGGCAGGGACAGAAAAGUCGGACUUCAGGGACUUCAGGUCCUUCUUGUUGGCCAAGAGACAGCCCUAACACCUUGCCGCUUUUAUGGUGGAUAAUCGAUUGAUGGACAGAGAGGACUUGCUUGCCGGUGAGGCGGGUAUAUGUACAUAGAAACAUAUCUGGUCCCUCUUCCCCCCUUUUUAAGCAAAAUUUUCAGUGGCCGACAAGAUUAGAAGAUUGUGGAGCACAUUUUCAUAUGCCCCCGCUUUAGCCUUUGGUUCCCCCUGGGCCAUUUCUAGACUGGCAACACUUUGAAUGCUGCCUUUGCCCAG